rnacentral:misc_RNA from 1 species
CGAUCAUAAUUGAUUUUAACGAAGAUAAAUCGUACGUAGGUGAUCGCGAUAGUCUCACGUUCGUGCAGCUACUUAAUUGGGUUGACUCUUUGAUUUUUUGAGGCGUGGACGAUUAAGCUAUCGAAAUAGGGUAAUACUUGUACUCGAGCAUUGCCCUGAAUUGAACAAAAGAGAAGGUCAUGAUCUGGACAAGUGCUACUUCGAUAAAACUGGGCCUGAAGCACCAGAAAUAUGUAUUGUACAAAUCUACGUAUUUUUUUUGCGGAAUUGCGUGUUAAAUCACGUAACAUUCGGCGAAAGGAAGUCGUUGAAAUUCCCGAUAAAAUCCUCUUAACGAAUUUACGAAGAUAAACGAGAUCGUCUAUUAAAAUAUUAUAUACCUAGUUGUUUAAACCGAAUAUUACUAAAACAUCCAAAGACAAAUACCAUGUAACGAGUUUAAAA